UGAACGCUAGCGGCAGGCUUAACACAUGCAAGUCGAGGGGGUAUGCCGAUUUAUCGGCAGAGGCCGGCGCACGGGUGCGUAACGCGUAUGCAAUCUACCUUUCACAGAGGGAUAGCCCAGAGAAAAUUUGGAUUAAUACCUCAUAGUAUAGCAGUUUCGCAUGAAACCACUAUUAAAGUUCCAACGGUGAAAGAUGAGCAUACGUCCCAUUAGCUAGAUGGUAAGGUAACGGCUUACCAUGGCUACGAUGGGUAGGGGGUCCUGAGAGGGAGAUCCCCCACACUGGUACUGAGACACGGACCAGACUCCUACGGGAGGCAGCAGUGAGGAAUAUUGGUCAAUGGACGCAAGUCUGAACCAGCCAUGCCGCGUGCAGGAUGACGGUCCUAUGGAUUGUAAACUGCUUUGUACGAGAAGAAACAACAUUACGUGUAAUGUCUUGACGGUAUCGUAAGAAUAAGGAUCGGCUAACUCCGUG
rnacentral:rRNA from 1 species